rnacentral:rRNA from 1 species
AGUGAACGCUGGCGGUAGGCCUAACACAUGCAAGUCGAACGGCAGCACAGUAAGAGCUUGCUCUUACGGGUGGCGAGUGGCGGACGGGUGAGGAAUACAUCGGAAUCUACUUUUUCGUGGGGGAUAACGUAGGGAAACUUACGCUAAUACCGCAUACGACCUACGGGUGAAAGCAUGGGAUCUUCGGACCUUGCGCGAUUGAAUGAGCCGAUGUCGGAUUAGCUAGUUGGCGGGGUAGAGGCCCACCAAGGCGACGAUCCGUAGCUGGUCUGAGAGGAUGAUCAGCGACAUUGGAGCGUGGACACGGUCCAGACUCCUAAGGGAGGCAGCAGUGGGGAAUAUUGGACAAUGGGCGCAAGCCUGAUCCAACCAUACCGCGUGUGUGAAGAAGGCCUUCGGGUUGUAAAGCCCUUUUGUUGGGAAAGAAAAGCAGCAGGUUAAUACCCCGCUGUUCUGACGGUACCCAAAGAAUAAGCACCGGCUAACUUCGUG